rnacentral:rRNA from 1 species
GACGAACGCUGGCGGCGUGCUUAACACAUGCAAGUCGAACGGAAAGGCCCUGCUUUUGUGGGGUGCUCGAGUGGCGAACGGGUGAGUAACACGUGAGUAACCUGCCCUUGACUUUGGGAUAACUUCAGGAAACUGGGGCUAAUACCGGAUAGGAGCUCCUGCUGCAUGGUGGGGGUUGGAAAGUUUCGGCGGUUGGGGAUGGACUCGCGGCUUAUCAGCUUGUUGGUGGGGUAGUGGCUUACCAAGGCUUUGACGGGUAGCCGGCCUGAGAGGGUGACCGGCCACAGUGGGACUGAGAUAAGGCCCAGACUCCUACGGGAGGCAGCAGUGGGGAAUAUUGCACAAUGGGCGGAAGCCUGAUGCAGCAACGCCGCGUGCGGGAUGAAGGCCUUCGGGUUGUAAACCGCUUUCGCCUGUGACGAAGCGUGAGUGACGGUAAUGGGUAAAGAAGCACCGGCUAACUACGUG